UGCUCAUCAUUCGCAGCGACGCUCCUAUAGGGUGAAAAAGCUCGGCGCUCCCCAGCUAUUGGUCUAAACGGGUGCCAAUCUGAAACGCCUUUUUUUAAUUGGAGGAGCGGCCCUCUGAGCCUCGAAACCUGAUUGGGCCCUAGGAAUGUCAGUUGGAGAGGGUACUUGGCGGAACUACGUUGAAGCAAAGGGGCGGGGUUCCUGCUGGACGCGUGGGGCAGGCUGUCUUUGACUGUCCUUGGACCUUGAGUUAGGUGACAGCCACGGAGGUUAACCCAAGUGGUGGCGUCCUGGAAGUCAGGAGCCUCCUGCGGCACCAAAACGUGCGUUUCCCCCCACAGGAGCGCGGGUGGAAGUUUCCAGGCGGCUCAGCAAGUCAGAAGCCUGGUUAUCAUUUGAAGCCACGCAGUGGAAGAAGCUAGCAACCCAUCCUUCGAGAGACGAUGCUCUGCAUCGAGGAGACAAGGGUCUAUGUGGACUAAGCUGGCCUGAAACUCAAGAGCUAUUCUUGCCUAUCUUAUGAGUAUUUGAAAGUUUGUGUCCAAAUUUUCAGAUAAAAUGUUAAAAUUUUAGAGCUGGA